rnacentral:rRNA from 1 species
CCUACGGGGGGCUGCAGUGGGGAAUAUUGGACAAUGGGCGAAAGCCUGAUCCAGCCAUGCCGCGUGUGUGAAGAAGGCCUUCGGGUUGUAAAGCACUUUCAGUGGGGAAGAAAGCCUUGGGGCUAAUACCCUCGAGGAAGGACAUCACCCACAGAAGAAGCACCGGCUAACUCCGUGCCAGCAGCCGCGGUAAUACGGAGGGUGCGAGCGUUAAUCGGAAUUACUGGGCGUAAAGCGCGCGUAGGCGGUCUGAUAAGCCGGUUGUGAAAGCCCCGGGCUCAACCUGGGAACGGCAUCCGGAACUGUCAGGCUAGAGUGCAGGAGAGGAAGGUAGAAUUCCCGGUGUAGCGGUGAAAUGCGUAGAGCUCGGGAGGAAUACCAGUGGCGAAGGCGGCCUUCUGGACUGACACUGACGCUGAGGUGCGAAAGCGUGGGUAGCAAACAGGAUUAGAUACCUUGUAGUC